ACACACCACACGGGCCUUCCAGGGAUCUCCAGUAUUUUGGAGAAGCUGCAUAGAGCUCCUAGAUAGAGGUGUACCACAUCUGCUCUGGUCCUGCUGGGAGGCAGCAGCUCACUAGCUGACUAGAUCUGCCUGUCCAGACUGAGCUGGUUCUGUCAGCUUCACCUACGGAGUGGGGAGGCUGAGCCGACUCUGCUCUUCUCAGACUACUAGCGAAGCAGAUGAGCUCUCCUUUUCUCCUGGAGGUAAAGCUGCCAGACUUCUCCUGGAGCAGCACAGACAGCAGUUACGGUGAAGGUUCCAGAAUUCAAGGGCCUUCGUUUGAAAUGGAGCUUCGCCGCCAUUGAGUUCAUUUCCUGGGAACCUUACUGUGUCCCAUGACAGAAGCCCACAUGGUGAUGCCUUACAAAUUAAGAACUCACCUUUCUUCAGUUCUGCAUGAAGAGGAGAUGGUCCAGAGGAUGUGGCAAUGAUACAGAUACAACCAGAGAAGAAGUUGGUGUUCUUUUCUAAACCAUGGUAAAAAUAACAGGACAUCAUGUAGGAUGAGCGAGUACCAGAAGUUUAGAGGGUGAUGUCCAAGAAAUAAAAGAAUGCUCCAGGAGUCUGAGAUGAAUUCUCCACAGAUCCUUACCCGUCUGGAAGAUUAUGUAUGCCUGGGGGAGUCUCAAAAGAACCGAGGAAACGUAAACAUGAAGGAGGAUUGAGAAAAGGCUGCAAUGUUCUCUGUCCCUCAUACAGACCUAGAGGAAAAUUAUGGCAACCUGGCUGGUCCUGGGCCAGUGCUGUUCCCUUGGCUCUAUACAUCUAAGGCAUCGAAGACUCCCAAGGAUACGGAGUGACUCUGGGUAUCAGCUUAGCACAUGUUAUUUUAGGUGUUUCAACAGUGACACCAUUGAGGUAGUGUGGCUUAGUGAAGGAAUGUGGGCUUGGACGGGAUAGAAUGGGGUUGUCAUUCCACAGUUAUAAGUUAAUAUUCUUAUUAACUUGGGCAAUCAUGUGACUACUCAGUAUCCUAUUUAAAUCUUAUAAAUGCCCACUGAAGUAGGCAUGGACUACUUCUGUGUUGUGGAUACUUUUUAAAAAAAAAAAAAAAAA
rnacentral:lncRNA from 1 species